GAGUUUGAUCGUGGCUCAGAUUGAACGCUGGCGGCAUGCCUUACACAUGCAAGUCGUACGGCAGCACGGGAGCUUGCUCCUGGUGGCGAGUGGCGAACGGGUGAGUAAUGCAUCGGAACGUAUCCUGGAGUGGGGGAUAACGUAGCGAAAGUUACGCUAAUACCGCAUAUUCUGUGAGCAGGAAAGCGGGGGACCUUCGGGCCUCGCGCUCUUGGAGCGGCCGAUGUCGGAUUAGCUAGUUGGUGAGGUAAAGGCUCACCAAGGCGACGAUCCGUAGCAGGUCUGAGAGGAUGAUCUGCCACACUGGAACUGAGACACGGUCCAGACUCCUACGGGAGGCAGCAGUGGGGAAUUUUGGACAAUGGGGGCAACCCUGAUCCAGCCAUGCCGCGUGAGUGAAGAAGGCC
rnacentral:rRNA from 3 species